rnacentral:rRNA from 1 species
UACAGAGGGGCAAGCGUUGUCCGGACUUACUGGGUGUAAAGCGCAUGCAGGUGGCUGUGCAAGUAUGCUGUGAAAGCCCCGUGCUUAACACGGGGAGGCCAGUAUAGACUGCACGGCUCGAGGACUGCAGAGGGUAGGGGAAGUUGCUGGUGGUAGUGGUGAAAUGCGUAGAGAUCAGCAGGAACACCAAGGCCGAAGGGGACCUACCUGGGCAGUAUCUGACACUCAAGUGCGACAGCGUGGGGAGCGAACCGG